rnacentral:rRNA from 1 species
GACGAACGCUGGCGGCGUGCUUAACACAUGCAAGUCGAACGGAAAGGCCCUGCUUGCAGGGUACUCGAGUGGCGAACGGGUGAGUAACACGUGGGUGAUCUGCCCUGCACUUCGGGAUAAGCUUGGGAAACUGGGUCUAAUACCGGAUAGGAACCAUCUUUAGUGUGGUGGUUGGAAAGUUUUUUCGGUGUAGGAUGAGCUCGCGGCCUAUCAGCUUGUUGGUGGGGUAAUGGCCUACCAAGGCGGCGACGGGUAGCCGGCCUGAGAGGGUGUACGGCCACAUUGGGACUGAGAUACGGCCCAGACUCCUACGGGAGGCAGCAGUGGGGAAUAUUGCACAAUGGGCGCAAGCCUGAUGCAGCGACGCCGCGUGGGGGAUGAAGGCCUUCGGGUUGUAAACUCCUUUCGCUAGGGACGAAGCUUUGUUGUGACGGUACCUAGAUAAGAAGCACUGGCUAACUACGUG